CACUUCUGAACAUGAGGUUCCCUGCUCAGCUCCUGGGGCUCCUCCUGCUCUGGGUCCCAGGAUCCAGUGGGGAUGUUGUUCUGACCCAGACUCCCCUCUCCCUGUCUGUCAUCCCUGGAGGGACGGUCUCUAUCUCCUGCAAGUCUUCGCAGAGUCUGAAAUAUAGUGAUGGAAAAACCUAUCUGCGUUGGUUUCAACAUAAACCAGGCCAGUCUCCACGGCAAUUGAUCUAUCAGGUUUCCAACCGUGACACUGGGGUCCCAGACAGGUUCACUGGCAGUGGGGCAGAGACAGAUUUCACACUUACAAUCAGCAGUGUGCAGGCUGAGGAUGCUGGAGUCUAUUACUGUUUUCAAGAUACAUAUGUUGAUUCCCCACAGUGA